AGAGUAAUAGCUCAGUGGUAGAGUUCGUGCUUAGCAUGCACAAGGUGCUGGGUUCAAUUCCCAGUAUCUCCA
rnacentral:tRNA from 1 species